rnacentral:rRNA from 1 species
CGCAUCUGUGCAUGCAGCAUAUCAAUAAGCGGAGGAAAAGAAACUAACAAGGAUUCCCCUAGUAACGGCGAGUGAAGCGGGAAGAGCUCAAAUUUGAAAUCUUCAAGGUUUUACCUUGACGAAUUGUAGUUUAAAGAAGUGUUUUCUGUUGAAGUUUUGGUAAAAGUUCUUUGGAAUAGGACAUCAUAGAGGGUGAGAAUCCCGUAUUUGACCAUUAUUUUCAGCUGUGUGAUACACUUUCAAAGAGUCGGAUUGUUUGGGAAUGCAGUCCAAAAUGGGUGGUAAAUUUCAUCUAAAGCUAAAUAUUGGCGAGAGACCGAUAGCGAACAAGUACCGUGAGGGAAAGAUGAAAAGAACUUUGAAAAGAGAGUUAAACAGUACGUGAAAUUGUCAAAAGGGAAGCGUUUGACACCAGUGUUGUUUUCUCGAGAAUCAAUUAAAAAGAGUUAGAUUUUGUUGUGUAUUGACCUUAACAGCUUGCAUUUCAAUUUUCUUGCUUUUUUUAAUGCACUUUUCGUUAAACAAGUCAACAUCAGUUUCUUUUGUUGUAAAAAGGUCAUUGGAAGGUGGCUUUCUUUUCGGAGAAAGUGUUUAUAGCCUUUGACUCCUGCAAUCGGAGAGACUGAAGGUCUGCAGCGUAGAUCCUUCGGGGUUAGAUACAUUUGUGCUAAGUUAUAGCUUUUUAUAGACAACUUGUUGACUAUGAUUAGUCUUGUAGCUUACUCGCUUAUGCUAUUUUACCUACGCUUAGGAUGUUGAUGUGAUACUGCGAGCA